rnacentral:rRNA from 1 species
CCUACGGGGGGCAGCAGUGAGGAAUAUUGGUCAAUGGGCGUAAGCCUGAACCAGCCAUCCCGCGUGAAGGAAGAAGGCGCUAUGCGUCGUAAACUUCUUUUCCAGAGGAAUAAAAUUUCGUACGUGUACGGAACUGAAGGUACUUUGGGAAUAAGCAUCGGCUAACUCCGUGCCAGCAGCCGAGGUAAUACGGAGGAUGCGAGCGUUAUCCGGAUUUAUGGGGUCGUAAGGGGGUUAAGACGGCUGAGGAGAAAACCUUCAGCUUAACUGGAGAACUGCCAGUGAUACUGUUAGUCUUGAGUACGGUCAAGGUAGGCGGAAUGUGUAAUGUAGCGGUGAAAUGCUUAGAUAUUACACAGAACACCGAUUGCGAAGGCAGCUUACUGGGCCAUUACUGACGCUGAUGCACGAAAGCGUGGGGAGCGAACAGGAUUAGAUACCCCUGUAGUC